rnacentral:rRNA from 1 species
UACGAAGGGAGCUAGCGUUGUUCGGAAUAACUGGGCGUAAAGGGCGUGUAGGUGGAUGUGUGCGUUAGAUGUGAAAGCCCCGGGCUCAACCUGGGAAUGGCAUUUAAUACGGCACGUCUAGAGUGCGGGAGGGGAAAGCGGAAUGGCGAGUGGAGCAGUGAAAUGCAUUGAGAUUCGCUAGAACACCAGAGGCGAAGGCGGCUUUCUGGCUCGUUACUGACAAUCAGACGCGAAAGAGUGGGGAGCAAACAGG